CCUACGUGUGGCAGCAGUGGGGAAUAUUGGGCAAUGGGCGCAAGCCUGACCCAGCAACGCCGCGUGAAGGAAGAAGGCUUUCGGGUUGUAAACUUCUUUUCUCAGGGACGAAGCAAGUGACGGUAACUGAGGAAUAAGCCACGGCGAACUGCGUGCCAGCAGCCGCGGUAAUACGUAGGUGGCAAGCGUUAUCCGGAUUUACUGGGUGUAAAGGGCGUGUAGGCGGGAAAGCAAGUCAGAUGUGAAAACCAUGGGCUCAACCUGUGGCCUGCAUUUGAAACUGUUUUUCUUGAGUACUGGGGAGGCAGACGGAAUUCCUAGUGUAGCGGUGAAAUGCGUAGAUAUUAGGAGGAACACCAGUGGCGAAGGCGGUCUGCUGGACAGCAACUGACGCUGAGGCGCGAAAGCGUGGGGAGCAAACAGGAUUAGAUACCCGGGUAGUC
rnacentral:rRNA from 1 species